CACGUAGGGCGCAAGCGUUGUCCGGAAUUACUGGGCGUAAAGGGCGCGUAGGCGGGAUGGCAAGUCGGUCGUGAAAUCCUUCGGCUCAACCGAAGAACGUCGAUCGAUACUGCUGUUCUUGAGGGUUGCAGAGGAGACUGGAAUUCCCGGUGUAGCGGUGAAAUGUGUAGAGAUCGGGAGGAACACCGGUGGCGAAGGCGGGUCUCUGGGCAAUUCCUGACGCUGAGGCGCGAAAGCGUGGGGAGCAAACGGG
rnacentral:rRNA from 1 species